AAUAAAUAAAAUAUAAAUGAAAAAAUUAACGGCUAAAAUGCCCUCUCCCAGAGAUGACCUUGCUGAGUGUCGUUUCUUGGUUGUCAUUGUUCCAGCCUGGCUUAGAACUUACCAUGCAUCAGAAGAUGGCCUUGAACUUCCAAUCCUUCUGAUUUCUGGGAUUCUACGCGUGAGCGACCAUGUCCAGUCUACUCAGUGCUAUGGACAGAUCUCAGGGCUUCA
rnacentral:lncRNA from 1 species